GUUAGGAAUAUUGGACAAUGGGCGCAAGCCUGAUCCAGCCAUGCCGCGUGAGUGAUGAAGGCCUUCGGGUUGUAAAGCUCUUUAGCCGAUGAUUAUAAUGACUGUAGUCGGAAAAUAAGCCCCGGCUAACUUCGUGCCAGCAGCCGCGGUAAUACGAAGGGGGCGAGCGUUAUUCGGAAUCACUGGGCGUAAAGCGUGCGUAGGCGGCUUUGCAAGUUGGGAGUGAAAGCCCAGGGCUCAACCCUGGAAUUGCUCUCAAAACUGCAAGGCUCGAAUUCGGGAGAGGAUAGCGGAAUUGUCAGUGUAGCAGUGAAAUGCGGAGAUAUUGACAGGAACACCAGUGGCGUAAGCGGCUAUCUGGACCGAUAUUGACGCUGAGGCACGAAAGCGUGGGGAUCAAACAGGAUUAGAUACCCUGGUAGUCC
rnacentral:rRNA from 1 species